rnacentral:rRNA from 1 species
AUUGAACGCUGGCGGCAGGCCUAACACAUGCAAGUCGAACGGUAGCACAGAGAGCUUGCUCUCGGGUGACGAGUGGCGGACGGGUGAGUAAUGUCUGGGAAACUGCCCGAUGGAGGGGGAUAACUACUGGAAACGGUAGCUAAUACCGCAUAACGUCGCAAGACCAAAGAGGGGGACCUUCGGGCCUCUUGCCAUCGGAUGUGCCCAGAUGGGAUUAGCUUGUAGGUGAGGUAACGGCUCACCUAGGCGACGAUCCCUAGCUGGUCUGAGAGGAUGACCAGCCACACUGGAACUGAGACACGGUCCAGACUCCUACGGGAGGCAGCAGUGGGGAAUAUUGCACAAUGGGCGCAAGCCUGAUGCAGCCAUGCCGCGUGUAUGAAGAAGGCCUUCGGGUUGUAGAGUACUUUCAGCGGGGAGGAAGGGAGUGAGGUUAAUAACCUUAUUCAUUGACGUUACCCGCAGAAGAAGCACCGGCUAACUCCGUGCCAGCAGCCGCGGUAAUACGGAGGGUGCAAGCGUUAAUCGGAGUUACUGGGCGUAAAGCGCACGCAGGCGGUCUGUCAAGUCGGAUGUGAAAUCCCCGGGCUCAACCCGGGAACUGCAUUCGAAACUGGCANGCUGGAG